GACGAACGCUGGCGGCGUGCUUAACACAUGCAAGUCGAGCGGAGCGGCGCACGGGUGAGUAACGCGUGAGUAACUGCCCCCCUCUCUGGGAUAACAGUUGGAAACGGCUGCUAAUACCGGAUAGUGGGGGAUGACUCGGGUCCUAUCAGCGUGUGGGUGGGGUAGUGGCCUACCAAGGCGACGACGGGUAGCCGGCCUGAGCGGGCGACCGGCCAAAAUGGGCUGAGAUACGGCCCAAGCACCUACGGUAGGCAUCAGGGGGGAAUAUUGCACAAUGGGGGAAACCCUGAUGCAGCAACGCGCGGGCGGGAUGACGUCGUUCGGGUUGUAAACCGCUUUCAGCCAUGACGCGGUAGUGGCAGAAGAAGCACCGGCUAACUACGUGCCAGCAGCCGCGGGAAUAC
rnacentral:rRNA from 1 species